rnacentral:rRNA from 1 species
GACGGGGCCCGCACAAGCAGCGGAGCAUGUGGUUUAAUUCGAAGCAACGCGAAGAACCUUACCUAGACUUGACAUCUCCUGAAUUACCCGUAACUGGGGAAGCUCUUCGGAGCAGGAAGACAGGUGGUGCAUGGUUGUCGUCAGCUCGUGUCGUGAGAUGUUGGGUUAAGUCCCGCAACGAGCGCAACCCUUAUCGUUAGUUGCUACCAUUAGGUUGAGCACUCUAGCGAGACUGCCCGGGUUAACCGGGAGGAAGGUGGGGAUGACGUCAAAUCAUCAUGCCCCUUAUGUCUAGGGCUACACACGUGCUACAAUGGUGAGGACAAAGAGACGCAAGACCGCGAGGUGGAGCAAAUCUCACAAACCUCAUCCCAGUUCGGAUUGUAGUCUGCAACUCGACUACAUGAAGUUGGAAUCGCUAGUAAUGGCAGAUCAGCAUGCUGCCGUGAAUACGUUCCCGGGUCUU